GUCUGAUUGCUUUUGCUGUUCAGCUGGGGGUCAUUUGCAUUCGCACUGAAGAAUUUCUACACAAACGAGAUGCAGUGACGACUGUAUCAGUGAUGGAGGGAGAUUCAGUCACUCUAGAAACUGGUCUUACUGAGUGGAGCAGCAGGAGGAGAGAGACCACAUACAGAUCCACUGUUAAUGUCUAUGUUCAUGAAGAUGAGACUCCAGCUGCUGCAUUACUCUACAAACACACUGGACUAAUGACG